UUCUUUUGUGUUUCUAAGUUUUUCUAGAUUUGCUAGUUUAGUCUAUUGCCGUUGGUUACCUUAAAGAACAAGGUCUAGUGGGCGUGUUUUUCAACAAGUUGUAGAUAAUGCUGAAGAGGGUGUGCAAAAUUUUCUGUAUCUUUUUCUUUAGCGAUGAUGAAAAAACGCAAGGGAAGCUAUAUCUUUCUGGAGACUGUAUUCUAUUAUUUCACAUAUGUUUACAUGUUAUGUCUAUUAUUGCAAAUAUGUUACAUGUGAUAUUAUUUCAAAUAUUUUUACAUGUUAAGUCUAUUAUUGCCAUGCGGUGCAAAUUUUAUAAAUUAUAAUCAAUGCACUAUAAUGUUCUUGGCUUCUGUCUCCGGUCUUGUAGCCAAUAUGAUUGUCUCUCAGUCUCACAUUAUGUAUGUUGAAUAGUGGUGCAACUCCAGAGGGGAAAGGUUUCAAAUGCACUGAAGGGAUAAUGGCAAUAGAAGCAGUCUCUCUUUUUCGCAAUUUUUAUGAGCAAGGAAACCCUAAUGCUCCAAAGCCUCAUAGGCCUCUUGCCCAACAAGCAACACAAUGAGUACGUAGAGAUUCAGUAGUUUCUCACCUCGUUUAUUAAAUGGGGUUAAAAAUCAAGUGUAAGACCAAAGCAAGACGUUCCUAAGGUUUGCAACAGCCCGAAAUUGGAUGUUUCAGGACUUCGGAAGGGGAACGGUUGAAAACUUUGGAAAACUAUACAAAAUACAUAUCUCUCUUCUAUAUUUUCUACUAUCACUACAAUUAUAUUU